rnacentral:rRNA from 1 species
GGCUGGGAGGACUGAACGUCUCUUCGGAUGGACAGGUAGUGUGGGGCAAUUACACAACUUAAUCUCAUGAAUGAGGUUCUCUAAUAGACCUAUAGUACGAUUAGAGGGCAAGUCUGGUGCCAGCAGCCGCGGUAAUUCCAGCUCUAAUAGCGUAUAUUAAAGUUGCUGCAGUUAAAAAGCUCGUAGUUGGAUUUCAAGGAUUGUAAACCCCUCCGGGGAAUACAUCCUUCUACUCUUCGACUGUUACUGUGAAAAAUUAGAGUGUUCAAGCAGGCUUUCGCAUAAUACAUCUACAUGAAUAACGAAUGUAUUAGAUCUCGUUUAUUCUAAUUACGAUUAAAGAGACGCGCGGA